rnacentral:lncRNA from 1 species
UUUAUUCAUUAGAAAUAAUCAAUACACCGUCCGUGAGGAUAGGUACAAUUUCACAUAAAGGUUCCUCAAACCAAUGUGAGGUCAAAGAAAAUCUAGCUAAUUCAUGAGCUGCUUUAUUUGCUUCUCUAUUACAAUGUUUGAAUCUUGAAAUAGUGAAGUCACAGGCGUAAUGAAAACAAUCAUCAAAGAUCAUUAUCAUCACUCCCGUCGAGUGUCCUCCAUCCUGCAUUGUUUCAAUCACCUAUAGAUUAUCUGGGUUAAUAAUGAGGCGGUUACAUCCCUCCCUUUGCACUAAUGUGAGACCAAAUUUGAGAGCUAGAGCCUCCGCAGUUAAAACAUCCAUGCAAUAAUCAAUCUUCUUGUUUCCUCCAG